rnacentral:rRNA from 1 species
AGAGUUUGAUCCUGGCUCAGAACGAACGCUGACGGCGGGCCUCAUACAUGCAAGUCGAACGAGAAAGCCCUUCGGGGUGAGUACAGUGGCGCACGGGUGCGUAACGCGUGGGUAAUCUACCUUUUGGAUGGGAAUAACUAGGGGAAACCUUAGCUAAUGCCCAGUAAGCUCUUUUUUUCAUAAAGAUUUUAAGAGGAUAGGUGGCGCAAGCUACCGCCGAAAGAUGAGCCUGCGUCCCAUUAGCUUGUUGGUAAGGUAAAAGCUUACCAAGGCGACGAUGGGUAGCUGGUCUGAGAGGAUGAUCAGCCACACUGGAACUGAAACACGGUCCAGACUCCUACGGGAGGCAGCAGUAGGGAAUAUUGCGCAAUGGGGGAAACCCUGACGCAGCCACGCCGUGUGUGUGAAGAAGGCCUUCGGGUUGUAAAGCACUGUCGCUAGGGAAGAAUAAUAAUCGGGGAAAGUUCGGUUAUUUUGACGGUACCCAGUAAGGAAGCACCGGCUAACUCUGUGCCAGCAGCCGCGGUAAUACAGAGGGUGCAAGCGUUGUUCGGAAUUACUGGGCGUAAGGAGUUCGUAGGUGGUAUCGAGAGUCAUAGGUGAAAUCCCCAAGCUCAACUUGGGAACUGCCUCUGAGACCUCGGUACUAGAGUGCGGAAGGGGCUAGUGGAAUUCCAUGUGUAGCGGUGAAAUGCGUAGAUAUAUGGAGGAACUCCGGUGGCGAAGGCGACUGGCUGGUCCGUAACUGACACUGAGGAACGAAAGCGUGGGUAGCAAACAGGAUUAGAUACCCUGGUAGUCCACGCCGUAAACGAUGCAUACUAGGUGUUGCUGGGAUUGACUCCGGCAGUGCCGCAGCUAACGCAUUAAGUAUGCCGCCUGGGGAGUACGGUCGCAAGACUAAAACUCAAAGGAAUUGACGGGGGCCCGCACAAGCGGUGGAUUAUGUGGUUUAAUUCGAAGCAACGCGCAGAACCUUACCUGGGUUUGACAUCCUCUGACAGCUCUAGAGAUAGAGUCUUCCUUCGGGACAGAGUGACAGGUGCUGCAUGGCUGUCGUCAGCUCGUGUUGUGAAAUGUUGGGUUAAGUCCCGCAACGAGCGCAACCCCUAAGAUUAGUUGCCAGCAUUAAGUUGGGCACUCUAAUUUGACUGCCGGCGUUAAGCCGGAGGAAGGUGGGGAUGACGUCAAGUCCUCAUGGCCCUUACGCCCAGGGCUACACACGUAAUACAAUGGGUAGGACAAAGGGAAGCCAACCAGCAAUGGGGAGCCAAUCUCAAAAACCUGCCCUCAGUUCGGAUUGGAGGCUGCAAUUCGCCUCCAUGAAGGUGGAAUCGCUAGUAAUCGUAGAUCAGCACGCUACGGUGAAUACGUUCCCGGGCCUUGUACACACCGCCCGUCACACCACGGGAGUUGACUCAACCAGAAGUCGUCUUUGGCGCCGAAGGUGGGGUUGAUGACUGGGGUGAAGUCGUAACAAGGUAGCCGUACUAGUACGGUA